GUUUACUGUGGCUACCUGCUUUUAUGCAGGUCUCCCACCUGGUGGACACUCCCAUAGGGGACCAGAUGGGAAACUGGGAAACAUAUUGGACAUUGACCAAUCCCAAGUUUACAAUCCCACAAUGCAUCACAAUCCCUCCUCUCUGUCCUGGAGAUAAUUGGGAAGUAAUCCAAUUAUCUCCAAGGACAGAGGCAAAACUCCAUUAACCACAUGGCCGACAAAGGAUAAUAAAAGACAUAAAAAUACAUACUGUUACAUUUAUCACAUAGAACAUACACAUUCUACCUAUCCCCAGAUAGCUUAGAUCGGAGCGCCCAUUACUACCGGAUGGCGCUCAGAUAACAUACAUACUGUUCAAUCGCCAUGGAGCCAAAGUCUUUCAUACAGUCUUUCAGUAUACGGCUGGGCUCCAUGGCAUAGCUAUCUGGGGGCUUUAACAGUCCGCAGAAAGGCAUGAACCAGCCUUUCUGCAGGGAAAAAGAACAGUGUUAAACAUGGGUCCAUAGUCCAGUGGCAGGAGGCAGGCGACCAGGCUCCUCCAGUGGCCAGUGGCGAGGUUGGUUCCGCCACACACCUCCAUCUUAGCUCUCUGUCAAUCAUUGUUAUAAGCUCCGCCCUUUACACCUGGCAGUCAGUAUAGAGAGAGCCACCUCCAUCUUAGCUCCCUGUCAGUCAUUGUUAUAAGCUCCGCCCUUUACACCUGGCAAUCGGUACAGAGAGAGCCCCCUCCAUCUUAGCUCCCUGUUAGUCAUUGUUAUAAGCUUCGCCCUUUACACCUGGCAGUCAGUAUAGAGA